rnacentral:misc_RNA from 1 species
UUUCCGUAGGUGAACCUGCGGAAGGAUCAUUCAUAAUAAAGUGUUUUAUGGCACUUUUUAAAAAUCCAUAUCCACCUUGUGUGCAAUGUUAGAUCUCGUCAAUCUUGGCGAGAUUUUUAUACAUCAACUCAUUCUUUAACUGAUUUGUCUGAAAAAUAUUAUGAAUACUUAAUUCAAAAUACAACUUUCAACAACGGAUCUCUUGGCUCUC